CUGAAUUCAUCAUGAGGAAGGAACCCAUCACAAGGAAGCAACCUAUGAAGGCAGCCAUUAGGCAAGGGACAUCUGAGAUGGGCACUGCAAGCAUGUUCAAGAAAACACCUCUUCUGCCAGCUAGAGGCUCCCCCGCCCAGUGGAGGAGGAAUCAAAUUCCACCAUCUUUAAUCUGGCUACACCAUAUUUGAAUAAUAAUCCUGAAAUUCACAUUGAUGCUCAAGAAGUCGCUUCUUCAAAACUUUAAGUCUCCAGAACUUACAUUAGAA
rnacentral:lncRNA from 1 species